rnacentral:rRNA from 1 species
AUUGAACGCUGGCGGCAUGCUUUACACAUGCAAGUCGAACGGCAGCACGGGUGCUUGCACCUGGUGGCGAGUGGCGAACGGGUGAGUAAUGCAUCGGAACGUGCCCAUGAGUGGGGGAUAGCCCGGCGAAAGCCGGAUUAAUACCGCAUACGCCCUUAGGGGGAAAGCGGGGGAUCUUCGGACCUCGCGCUAUUGGAGCGGCCGAUGUCGGAUUAGCUAGUAGGUGAGGUAAAGGCUCACCUAGGCGACGAUCCGUAGCUGGUCUGAGAGGAUGAUCAGCCACACUGGGACUGAGACAGGCCCAGACUCCUACGGGAGGCAGCAGUGGGGAAUUUUGGACAAUGGGCGCAAGCCUGAUCCAGCCAUGCCGCGUGAGUGAAGAAGGCCUCGGUUGUAAGUACGUACUUCUAGUGGUAAGGAAAGUAAGACG